rnacentral:rRNA from 1 species
CCUACGGGGUGCAGCAGUGAGGAAUAUUGGUCAAUGGACGAGAGACUGAACCAGCCAAGUAGCGUGAAGGAUGACUGCCCUAUGGGUUGUAAACUUCUUUUAUAUGGGAAUAAAACAGGGUAUGCAUACCCUCUUGAAUGUACCAUAUGAAUAAGCAUCGGCUAACUCCGUGCCAGCAGCCGCGGUAAUACGGAGGAACCGAGCGUUAUACGGAUUUAUUGGGUUGAAAGGGAGCGGAGGUGGAUUGUUAAGGCAGUUGUGAAAGUUUGGGGCUCAACCGUAAAAUUGCAGUUGAAACUGGCAGUCUUGAGUACAGUAGAGGUGGGCGGAAUUCGCGGUGUAGCGGUGAAAUGCUUAGAUAUCUCGAAGAACUCCGAUUGCGAAGGCAGCUCACUGGACUGCAACUGACACUGAUGCUCGAAAGUGUGGGUAUCAAACAGGAUUAGAUACCCUUGUAGUC